rnacentral:tRNA from 1 species
GGGAGUAUAGCUCAGUAGGGCAGCACCUGCCUGGCAAGUGCAAGGUCCUGAGUUCGAUUCCUAGUACCCCCC